AAGACUAUAGACCUGCGGAGUACCUGCGGAAGGAUCAUUACAAGUGACCCCGGUCUAACCACCGGGAUGUUCAUAACCCUUUGUUGUCCGACUCUGUUGCCUCCGGGGCGACCCUGCCUUCGGGCGGGGGCUCCGGGUGGACACUUCAAACUCUUGCGUAACUUUGCAGUCUGAGUAAACUUAAUUAAUAAAUUAAAACUUUUAGCAAUGGAUCUCU
rnacentral:misc_RNA from 1 species